GAUCAUGGCUCAGGAUGAACGCUAGCUACAGGCUUAACACAUGCAAGUCAAGGGGAAACGACAUCGAAAGCUUGCUUUUGAUGGGCGUCGACCGGCGCACGGGUGAGUAACGCGUAUCCAACCUGCCCAUCACUUGGGAAUAACCUUGCGAAAGUAAGACUAAUGCCCAAUGAUAUCCCACGAAGGCAUCCGAAUGGGAUUAAAGAUUUAUCGGUGAUGGAUGGGGAGUGCGU
rnacentral:rRNA from 1 species